UCUGGUGUCGAUGCGGUCAGGGGACACACCCGUUCCCAUCCCGAACACGACGGUUAAGACGUAAGCGGCCGAUGGUACUAUGCUGGAGACGGCAUGGGAGAGCAGGUGGAUGCCAGAU
rnacentral:rRNA from 1 species